rnacentral:misc_RNA from 1 species
GAUGAAGAACGCAGCGAAAUGCGAUAAGUAAUGUGAAUUGCAGAAUUCAGUGAAUCAUCGAAUCUUUGAACGCACCUUGCGCCCUUUGGCCAUUCCGAAGGGCAUGCCUGUUUGAGUAUCAUGAACACCUCAACUCUUCAUGGUUUUCCAUGAUGAGCUUGGACUUUGGGGGUCUUGCUGGCCUGUGGGUCGGCUCCUCUCAAAUGAAUCAGCUUGCCGGUUUUUGGUGGGCAUCACAGGUGUGAUAACUAUAUACGCUUGUGGUUUUCCACCAGGGUAACCUUCAGCAGUGGAGGUUCACUGGAGCUUACAAAUGUCUCUCCUCUGUGAGGACAGCCCUUUGAAUGUUUGAUCUCAAAUCAGGUAGGACUACCCGCUGAACUUAAGCAUACAAUAAGCGGAGGA